UCUCGGUGCGAGAGGAGCUCAGGUUCCCUCUGGGGCUUUAUGGGCAGCGGAGCGUCACGCAGCAUGUGAGCGGGCCCAUCCCAGCUGGCCUACGAGCUCCUCUCCGUCCCAUUGCUGCCUGUGUUUGGAACGUUAAGGAGAAUAUAAGCGACUUCUGAAGAUCCCCCCAUGUGAAACAGCAGCACCAGCUCCCGCCAGAUUCUACCCUUCAGAUCCCAGCUGGGGGGAGCGAGCGAGCGGCUGCGUGGUCCUAGUUGCUGGCUGGGGUUAAACCAUGACAGUCACACAGAUGGGACAGUUCUCCCGGUCCCCAGCACCGCUGGGCUCUGCACCUCCCAGGCGAGGAGGGAGACCCACUGCUGCUGCCUGCUGGACCCAGUGCUGCUGGUGUGGGACCGCAGGGCAGUGGCCUUCCGUUGUCUCCCUCCGCCCUGUUCUCCUCCCAGCGAGCCCUUUGGUGGCCAUCUUCGGUCGGCUUUUGGCUCGCCCAGACCUCUCCUCCCAGGCCCUUGGGGGGAGCUUGCAGGGGACGCGUGACCUGCUUCAGGGGACCUGAAAUUAAGGUAACUGAGCCCCUGCGUCUGCCUGCCCUGAUGCCCCUCGUGCUUUUCUACCCCAGCGUCCAUGUGUUUGGAGCAAGCGGCUGGAGAAGCGCAC